AGACAAACCCAGCUUAGCACAGGGGACCCUUUACCGCAGUCCUUCCCAGUGGGGGGAAAAAGCAGUGCUGUCGCCCUUGCCGGCUUCAGAAUAUGAGCCUUGUUGCCAGUGAGUGGCUGAGCAGGAAUCUGCUUUGACGAGCGGCGGUCCUCCGCUGAUGCCGCCGGCAGCCUCCUCCGCGGCUCUGCAGACGGAGGCUGUGUCUUCUUAAUUGCAGGUGCUGGGAAUGGAGCCGGAGGCCUUGGGCAUGCCUUUCGUGUGUGCUGCUCUCGCUGGGCUGUGAGCCCUCCCGUUUCCCGGAAAGGUCUCCUGCUGGACGUGUAUCCCUUGAUUGAAAGACGCUGCCUUUCUUGCUUCUCUCUUAGGGGCAGCUGAGGAAGGAUGUUCUCUUCGGCAAAGCCCUAUGAAAACCAGCGCUACUCUGCCUUGAAGAAGGACUGCCAGCGAAGGAAGGUCCUCUUCGAAGAUCCCCUCUUCCCGGCCAAUGACGACUCGCUCUUCUACAAGUCAAAGAUUCAGGGUAUCCAGUGGAAACGGCCAAAGGACAUCUGUGACGAUCCCCACCUCUUUGUGGAUGGCAUCAGCUCUCACGACUUGCACCAGGGCCAGGUGGGGAACUGCUGGUUCGUAGCCGCCUGCUCCUCGCUGGCCUCCCGGGAGUCCUUGUGGCAGAAGGUCAUCCCAGACUGGAAGGAACAAGAAUGGUCGGCCGAGAAGCCGGAGAACUACGCUGGCAUUUUCCAUUUCCAGUUCUGGCGAUUUGGCGACUGGGUGGACGUGGUGAUUGACGACCGCCUGCCGACGCUCCACAACCAGCUCAUCUAUUGCCACUCCAACUCCAAGAAUGAGCUGUGGUGUGCUCUUGUGGAAAAAGCUUAUGCCAAACUUUCGGGAUGUUAUGAAGCCCUUGACGGAGGUAACACCGCUGACGCCUUGGUGGAUUUCACGGGCGGCGUCUCGGAACCCAUUGACCUCUUAGAAGGGGGCUACGCCAACGAUGAAACCAAACGCAACCUCCUCUUUGAGCGGGUGCUCAAAGUCUAUAACCGAGGAGGCCUCAUCAGCUCCUCCAUCAAAGCCACCUCCGCUGCUGACAUGGAAGCCCGCCUGGACUGUGGCCUGGUCAAAGGGCAUGCCUACGCGGUCACCGAUGUGAGGAAAGUCCGCCUCGGCCACGGCCUGCUGGCCUUCUUCAAGUCGGAAAAGCUCGAUAUGAUCCGGCUGCGGAAUCCCUGGGGGGAGAGGGAGUGGAACGGCCCCUGGAGUGACACAUCUGAGGAAUGGCAAAAGGUCAGCAACGGUGAGAGAGAGAAGCUAGGAAUGACGGUGCAGGAUGAUGGAGAGUUUUGGAUGACCUUUGAAGAUUUCUGCGCAUACUUCACAGACAUCAUUAAGUGCCGGCUUAUUAACACAUCUUACCUGAGCAUCCAUAAGACCUGGGAGGAGGCAGUCUUGCGGGGAGCAUGGACGAGGCAUGAGGACCCCUUGAAAAACCGCUGUGGAGGCUGCAUCAAUCACAGAGAGACCUUCCUACAGAACCCCCAGUAUGUGUUUGAUGUGAAGAAAGCUGAGGACGAAGUGCUCAUCUGCAUCCAACAGAAGCCCAAACGCACCAGUCGCAAGGAGGGCAAAGGAGAGAAUUUAGCUAUCGGAUUUGACAUCUUCAAGGUGGAGCUGAAUCGAACUUACCGGAUGCACGCCUUGCAGUCAAAAGUUGCCAGUUCCAUCUACAUCAACUCUCGCAGCAUCUUCUUAAGGACAGACCUGAAGGAAGGCCGUUACGUCAUCAUUCCGACCACCUUUGACCCUGGCCAUGUGGGUGAUUUCCUUCUCAGGGAGUUCACAGAUGUGCCUUCAGAUUGCCAGGAGCUGACUCUGGACGAGCCCCCUCACACCUGCUGGAGUGGAAUGUGUGGCUACCCACAGCUGGUGUCACAGGUCCAUGUUAUUUCCGCUUCGGGGUUGAAGAACCAAGGCUCCCAAGAAGGAGUGGAUCCCUAUGUGAUCAUAAAAUGUGAAGGAGAGAAAGUCCGUUCGCCAGUGUUGAAAAACACCCUGACGCCAGAAUUUGACGUGAAAGGCCUGUUCUACCGCAAGAAGCCAGGGAACCCCAUCAUCAUUCAGGUCUGGAACCACAACAUUAUAAGUGACGAAUUCCUGGGCCAGGUGGGCCUUACGGCUGACCCCAAUGACCUUCAGUCCCUACACAUGCUCCAUCUCCAGGACAAAGGCAACAAGCGGGCCAGCGAACUCCCAGGAACUCUGAAGGUGCAGCUUCUCACCAGCAGCAUCCUCACAAAUGUCUAAACGACACGAGGACUCUUUCUUUUGUGCCAUCGGGAGACAUGUGUAGAAUGUUGCGAUAUGCAGUAUAUAUAUAUGUAUACACAUAUAUAUGUAUAAUUAUAUAUAUAUGCCUGCCAAUGUAUAUGUACUGUGCAUGCAUCCACUUUCUAGGGGUGGGGGCGGGGGACCCCUCUCAUGUUUUCAGUUUUCAGUUUAUUUUUUUUAAGUUUUCUAAAAAGGUGCCUUUUCCAGAAGCCAAAAUCCUUUUUGUUGCUGUUGUUCGUUUAAUAUGUCCGAGGCAUGAUCUGUCGCCUUUGACGGACAGCGGGGUGUUUUGGAUAGGCCUCAAACCAAUCCCGCUCUUUGGUGGCUGUCGCACUUUCAGCGCCACAGGGCUGUACGUUUACACAGAGAGCGGUGUCUCUCAUGCGCACAUGCGUGGCUGGGAUGUGCCGUCCCAUCCCAGGGAAAAAACAUUGCCAAGUUUACCGAAGGGCUCUUUUAUUAACUUGGAUAUAUUAAUCUUUGUUGCCAGGAUUUGGGCAGGAAGCACAUUCUGCUGUCUGAGCUGCCUAGGGUGCCUCCAGCCAUCCCUCGACCGACAUCUUUACUUGCUUAGUUUACUCUUUUAGUGCAAUAGUCGCUCCUUCUGUGUAAACCCAGAUCUGUCCCAAUUGCAUAGGAAAAAGGAGGCAAGCGUCCAGUUUCAACAGCAAUAGGAGUGCACAGGCAUGGAGAAAUUUGCUCCUUUUGUGUGUGGGGGGGGGGGGGGUUAAAAACUGAGAUUUCUUAGGAAACAGAAUACCAUGCCGAGGUAUCUCACAGAACUGCAGCAUACGCACAGACCUGAGGCCUUGCAACAGAAUGGGAAAGAAUCCUAAUGUGAUCACAAGCUCCAUGUGAACAGAGAGGUCAUCGUUCUGAAAAAGACGUGUGGGGCUUAUACGGACCUCGCCUCUUUGGUGUCCACUGUUUUGCCCUAGAGCUGGGGUUCUCAGCCUUGUGGGUGCUUAGAUGUUGGACUACAGCACCCAUCAUGCCCAGCCACAACGGCUGAAGGAGUUGUAACUCAACGCCAUCUGGGGAUCUGAGUGGGAGAACCCAUCUCCUAGAAGGGAAAUCCAGUUAGGUGAGAUUGGGAGUGUUUUGUGACAGCUCUGCUGAUCUACGGAGACAUUCCACACAAUCUUCUGUAUGCUCUGAUGGCUAGUCUUGAAGGUGCAUCCUGCAGCCGUCUUCCACAGAGGUCUUCCACACAUAGAAUCUAGAUAGAAAAGGCUUCAAGUGGGCAUUUGGGACACCCUCCAGGAAUUGAUCACCUACAUAGGAACAUAGGAAGCUGCCUUAUACUGAGUCAGACCGUUGUUCCAUUUAGCUCCGUAUUGUCUACACUGACUGGCAGCAUCUCUCUAAGGUUUCAGGCAGGAGUCUUUCCUAGCCCGACCUGGCGAUGCUGCCAGGGAGUGAACCCAAGACCUUCUGCAUGCAGAGCAGAUGCUAUAUGAGUGGUCUAUGGCCCCAUCCCCUGAGGAGAACAUCUGACAGCAGGCAGUGCUCACAUGUAGCCGUCCAUCCAAAUGCAAACCAGGGCAGACCCGGCUUAGCAAACGGGACAAUUCAUGCUUGCUACCUCAAGGCCAGCUCUCCUCCCCUUGUUAUCUGCAAGAGAGGGCUCAUGGCCCCAUCAUCAUCCAGUAGCAAAGCAUGCCUUUGGCACAUAGACCUUUUCAGAUUCUGUCUCCACCAAAAAUGUUAUCUCAGGUAAAUGGGCUGAGAAAGAGUUGCUACCUGAGAACUCAGAGAGCUGCUGCCAGUCAGAAAGAGCUGUAAGGGGAAGGGCCAUAGCUAAAUGGAAGAGCAUCCACUCGCUUGGCAUGGAGACGGUCCCAGGUUCAAUGCCUGGCAGCAUCGCCAGGGAGGGCCGGGAAAGACCUAUGCUUCAAGCUCUGGAGAGAUGCUGCCAAUCAGUGUAGACCCAGGGCAGGCAACCUUGGUUCUUUGGCUGUUGUUGGACUGUGGCUGGGGUUGAUGGGAGUUGUAGUUCAGCAACAGCUGGGGAGCCAAGGUUGCCUGCCCCUGGUGCAGCUAAUUCUGAGCUAGCCGGACGAACAGUCCAGUCCACUAGAAGGCAGGUUCUUAGGUAACCUGUGUCAGAAUAGAUAGCACUGGGCUGGAUGGAUCUCUGGUCUGGCAUGGCAUGAGAGAGUUAAAGCCACUGGGCUCCUGCGGUGCUGGUGCUUUCAGAAGUCAGCCUCUGCAUCCACUCCAAGAUGGGUGCUCUACUAUUACCACCGCCACCCCCAUGAGCCGGACAGAUGCAAGAGAGGAUUCUAGGGCACAUCUCUUGAGUUGGCCACUGCAACAACAGAAUCGUUUCACACCUUGAGCUAGGGAGGUGUGGUUCGGAUUCAAAAGGGAACUUGAAGCCAACUUGAAGCACCGCCCCUUCCAGCUUCCUGCAUCUGCGCGGGCGCCAUGUGUGUGCUGAUGAUGCGCAGGGCUUUUUGAGACACGCGCCGCCACCCCAGCAGGAAGCUGGAAGGGGCAGCGGAGAGCAGACAAGUACCUGCUCUCCGUUUUCUUAAAGUUCCCUUUUAAAUUUAAAUUUAAUUAAGUGCUCGAACCGUGCUUCGAACCGCAUUCUGGGCGCAUCGCUAUCUUGAGCCACUUCGGCCAUUUGGUUACCAUUUAGAACUCAAGAUUGACUGUGGGACUAUUGACCCACAUUCACUGUUCAUGGUAAUAAAAUGGCCUUUGGGAAUUACAUUUUUUCAUUCUUUCCCCAGAUUAAAAAAUUGCCUGCAUGGGGAAAACUAUCGGAAAGAGAGAUUCUAGUCUAGCUUUCCUCCUGGCGAUGUGUUUCUUUUCUACAUGCAAGGAAGGGUGGUGUAUUUAUUUUCUGUUUUGAGGAGUACGAAACAUGCUGUUUCUGCACCUGCCAACUGAAGUGGUACAGUCCAAGAAGGACUCAGCCAUAUGAUAUUGCCCAAUAGGUAGCUCUUCCCCUUGCAGGGGGUGGAUGAAGUGCAUGGAAACUACUACUUAUAUAUUGCUUUUCAACAAAAGUUUCCAAAGUGGUUUAAACAGAAAAUCAAAAUAAAUAAUUAAACAAAUUAAACAGAAAAUCAAAAUAAAUAAUUAAAUGAAUAAGGUGUUUUUUAUUUGGAAGCCAUUUUGGAAGGGCGGUAUAAAAAUCAAAUCAAAUCAAUCAAUCAAUCAAUCAAUCAAUAUGAUGUUUUCCAAUCCAUGAAGGGCUCAAUCAAAAGAGAAAUAUAAGGCAUACACCAGCAACAGCCACUGGAGAGAGGCUGUGUUGGGGAUGGAUAGGGCCAGUUGCUCUCCCCCUGCUAAAUAGAAGAGAAUCAGCACCUUAAAAGGUGCCUCUUUGCACCUUUUUUUUUUAGCAAAAAAAAAGGUGCAAAGGUACUUUUAGUUAGCAGGGGAAACACAGUGGGAGGGAGUUAAACGCCUCUAGCGCAGUACGCCCGACUAUGUUAAUACAAGUUCUGCAUUUCGUGGGAGACGGGCAGCGAAUCAAACCCAGGAGCACCAAGCCAUAGCACCAAGAGAUGGUUUUCAAAUUCAUCAUGGUUUAUUGGGACCAAAAUACCUGCAGUCGUUUUGUUUACUUCUCUUUUAAAAACAGCCAUGAACGCUUAAUAUUAUAGCCAUAAGUUCCUUCACUGCUUUCCUCCAGGAACUAAUAGGGAGGAUUAAGUCCGGGGGUUUGUGUGGCAAUGCCUCUAUAACUGUUUGGGCCAAGGGUUCUCCGACUUGGUCCCCAGAUGAUUUGUAGUCCAUCAACUUCUGGGGACCCAAGGUUGAGAACCCCUGAUUUGGGUAUAUAUGAGUAGAAGGCUACCAAACCAUCAUUCUCAUGGUUGUUAUUUCUUAGCCAAACUGAGAUUCUGGUGGGCAGGGCAAGGGAGAGUGACAAUCAGUAUCUGGAAUAUUCCGUAGGUGACACUUUUGGUUUACAUCUGUCAUUUUGUAUCGUAUGAAGUCUAAUCACUUGCACUUUAUCCAAUAAAUGCUUCAUGACAUGUAUGAAUGCAGAUCGGGGGGUGUCUUGGGAUACAAAAUUUUAAAAGCAUUGAAAUAUCUGGCUGUGUAUAAGAUUUGCAAUUAAAAGCCAAAAUGAAACAA